rfam:Aedes albopictus isolate Foshan contig99750, whole genome shotgun sequence.
UGCCCAGCAACUCCUAUCCCUACCUCCGCGUGGUACUGGCUGGAAACAACGAGCAACAUUAGGGAAGAUCGGGUAUCCAACACUGAUGGGAACUUUGAUCAUAGGCUGACAGGGAAGG